CGUAGAUAGUGACCUAAGAAUGGGGAGGGCAUUUUACUAACAUCUUAGCACCUAAGCCAAUUAACAAUGUCUAUUUGUCUAUAUCUUGAUUUUCUUCAAUGAUGUAAUAAUGCCUUUAUAAGGGUCUGCGCACCCAUUUUCUGUCAGAAGCCAUUAAACUUCUCUGAAGUUCUUUCAUUACCCUGAACCUUGUGUCUCAGUGUGAAUUUACUUCUGCGUGCACGCAACUUUAUUAUCUUUAAUUUGGACAGGAACAGAUAGUCAUUCAAACUAAUUGGUUUGCAGUAAAUCAUCUAGAACAAUUGGCGCUCUCAACGUGGGGCUCUGGGCUAUGUCCAGUCUGGGCAGCUGUCCAAGAAGACGCUGGGGGGGCUGAAUCCUGGGGGAAGGAAAAGAGCCUGAUCACCUCUGAAUACACGGUAGAGAUUGCUGCAGCACCUAGCCGGUAUGUUCCUACCCCUGUGAUUGACCUGCCC